GGGCUUUUUCCACUUGUCAAAAGAAAUUUAUCAAAACAUUAAAAAAUGUAAAGCACACAAAACAGAAAAUAAAUAUUUUAAUGUCACAUUCAUUUCCAUUAGAAUACAUUCAUGACACACCUUUAUUAUUUUUUGAAUUGGCUAUUCCUUCUAUUUACAUGUACUUAUUCACCUCUCAGAGGUUAGCAAUUUAGUAAUAAUUAUUAAACCAAUAAUUUAGAUACUGAUUUUCCUCAAGUACAAAAUAUCUGAAACUAAAUUUAUACCUAUAUUUGUUGACACUUUAUAUUUUACUUUCCAACCCUAACAUUAGGUAAACCCGGAAUUUUACUGUGUAAUGCUAGAAUCUGCAAGUAUUAAAAGUACAUUUGGAGUAAAACUGAACCUUAAGUCAUUAUAUUUCAUAAUAACCGAAGUACCUUACUUUCCAUAUAAUUAUGCAGUCACUAUUAUAUCAUGUCUAUAAAGGUCCUGUGUAAGUCUUAAUUUAGUUUAAAGUUCUGAUAUCAAUAAGCCUCCAUUAACUACUAAAAAUUGCUCAUUAGUAAAAGUUUUAUCCAACAAAGUUAUCUUUUUAAUUUAAAUACUGAAGUAUUAUGCCUAAAGGUUUAGCAAUAUUUGGCAAACUAAAUUUAUUCUUUUCAUCCCAUCUAUUCCACAUGCAUUUUUGGUAAAAGCUUUUCAUUACUAUUAGAGACUCUUGCCCUGGGUUACACAGCACAGGCUGUUAUAAUUAAUUAUUGGCAUAAUUUUCACCAAUUAGUGAAUUGUACCUUCCAGGACUUCCUUUUUUUGUUUUUUUGGUACCGGGGAUCAAACUCGGGUCCUUGUGCUUGUGCUUGCGCAGCAGGUGGCGAAACCACUGAGCUAAAUCUUCGGCCCAGGAUUUCCUUUUACUUAACUAUAAAAUGAAGGCAAUGAAGUUCAUAUAGUAUCUCAAAGUCUCUUCCAAUUCUAACAUAUAAGAGUAAAGAGCUAAAUUAUAUAAAUUUGUACAUUUAUAAACAUCUUUUAAAACAAUUUCAAAACAACC
rnacentral:lncRNA from 1 species